rnacentral:rRNA from 1 species
ACCGGCAGCUCAAGUGGUGGCCAUUUUAUUUGGCCCUAAACGGUCGGAGCCGGGUUGAUUAAUCUCCGGUGGAAUCCCGCCGCUUUACUGGUGGGACUGCUGGAGAUACUAUUAGACUUGAGGUCGGGAGAGGUUAGGGGUACUCCCAGGGUAGGGGUGAAAUCCUAUAAUCCUGGGAGGACCACCUGUGGCGAAGGCGCCUAACUGGAACGAACCUGACGGUGAGUAACGAAAGCCAGGGGCGCGAACCG